rnacentral:rRNA from 1 species
UGAGGAAUAUUGGUCAAUGGGCGAGAGCCUGAACCAGCCAAGUAGCGUGCAGGAUGACGGCCCUAUGGGUUGUAAACUGCUUUUAUGUGGGGAUAAAGUGCGUGACGUGUCAUGCAUUUCAGGUACCACAUGAAUAAGGACCGGCUAAUUCCGUGCCAGCAGCCGCGGUAAUACGGAAGGUCCGGGCGUUAUCCGGAUUUAUUGGGUUUAAAGGGAGCGUAGGCUGUCUAUUAAGCGUGUUGUGAAAUUUACCGGCUCAACCGGUGGCUUGCAGCGCGAACUGGUCGACUUGAGUAUGCAGGAAGUAGGCGGAACUCAUGGUGUAGCGGUGAAAUGCUUAGAUAUCAUGACGAACUCCGAUUGCGCAGGCAGCUUACUGUAGCAUAACUGACGCUGAUGCUCGAACGUGCGGGUAUCAAACAGG